rnacentral:lncRNA from 1 species
AUUUUGACCCGCGCUUCAAAAACGCGGGAUCGAUUUCAUAGUCCAUAAUUAUUUUUUAAAAAAUUCUAAUUUUGUAUAUAAUUAAUAGAUUUUAAAGUUUCAUGUACAUCAUUUUCUUAAGUUUUUUUAGGUGAGUAAUUUUGUGGACCGUGAGAAGAAUUCUUAAUAUGCACUAUGUUAGAGGUGGGCAUUUGGAUACAUGUUUCGGUCUAUUUGGAAUUUGGUUUAUUGAUAUAGAGAUUUUAUUUUUAUUCGGGUAUUUAUAAACUUUGAUUCAUAUUUGGUUUAGAUAUUUGUGAGUUUGGUUCGUGUACAAAUAUCCGUUUAAAUUAAGUACACAAAAUAAAAAAUCUAAAUAUAAUUUAAAAUCCUUAAAAUUCAAAAUAAAAAUAGUAUAUGAAAUAAAAUUUUGAAUAUUUAAAAUCCUUAACAUGAAAUUGGUUCAGUUUGGAUAUUAGAUGGGAAACCAGUAGGUAUUUAGUGUAUUUUCCGUGUUUAAAAUAUUUUGACUAUUUUAGAUAUUUAUUUUCUACUAUUUUUUAUAUUUUCAAUUAUUUUUUUGAAAAUUUCGAAUAUUUUUGAGUAUUUUAUAUAUUUUGAAUAC